CCCUGCCUUUUGUACACACCGCCCGUCGCUACUACCGAUUGAAUGGCUCAGUGAGGCCUUCGGACUGGCCUGGGGAGGUUGGCAACGACCACCCCAAGCCGGAAAGUUCGUCAAACUCGGUCAUUUAG
rnacentral:rRNA from 1 species